AACCAAAACUAAUGAAAACCAAAAACCCAAACCUAUCACUCUUUUCCUCUCAAAGAUUGAAAAAAAAAUGGUAGAAAAAAGAGGUUAUCAUCAUCGUCCGAUGAUAAAUCUCCUUCGCUAUGUCCAAAGGCAAAUGAUAGCAAUGUUGGUUCAUCUGGAAAAUCGAUGCCGAUCUUGGAGGUCCUAUUUGGCAGAAAAUAUAUCAAGGAUUUUUUCAGACUCACAACACAAACUUAGAAUUAUAUUCAACAUUGAAAAGUCGGCUUGAAAAGCUUCCUGAUAUUGUAAUUACUUUUGGUUCCACAUGCUCAUACAGAUAAUCACAAGGACAAGAAGCUACUUAAUGAUAUAGUAGAUAUUGACGGAUGAACUCAUGAACAAAUUCGUGUCCAACCCCAGGGAUGCUGCGACAUAAAAUGAAUUUGAAAAGGGUUGCGCACAGAGGAUUCUGAACGAGUUAUGAUACUUGCAGCAACAAACACGCCAUUUCAUCAGGUUGUGAUAAGGCGACUGUCCCGUAGGUUGAUGGUCAAUUUACCAGAUGCUCCAAACAACGCAAAAAUUCUAAAGUUGAUACUCACAAAAGAAGACUUGGCUCAUGAUGUCGAUCUAGAUUCAGUUGCAUGCAUGACAAAUGGAUAUUCCAAAAGUAACCUUAAGGUGUCUGUACUAUUCAUGUUUGCUUGGAUAAAUUACUAGUCCUAUUUCAUCAUUCUGAAAACAAAGCGUGUUCAAACUUCAAAAUGAUGAAACAGGACUAAUCGUUUAUUUAAGCAAACAUGAUUAGAAAAAACACCUUAAGGUCACUUCCUGAAUAUCCAUUUGUUGUAUUUGCAAUUGAAUCCAGAUCAACAUCCUGAGCCAAGUCUUCUUUGCGAGUAUCACUUUUGGAUCUGUGUAUAGCAGCUGCAUAUCUACCCAUUAGAGAGAUAGUAGGAAAAUAAAAGAAGUUUAAGCUUUUCUAUGUUUGAUGUUAGUUCGUUGGUUGCUUAACUAAGAUAGAAAAUAACAUGUUGGCUAAGGUAUAGCUUUCUCUGCUUGAUGUUUGUUCGUUGAUUGCUUAACUGAGGCAGAAAAUAAGAUGUUGGCUCUUCCAAUAGAUUUUUUUUCUCCACGAUUCUGUUAAGGAUGUCAAUUCCACUUUCUUUUGAUAAUUUUCAUGGGUUUUAGAGGA